GCAUUCGCGAAGCAGCCUCCCUUGAGUAGU
rnacentral:sRNA from 1 species